rnacentral:rRNA from 1 species
GACGUACGCUGGCGGCGUGCUUAACACAUGCAAGUCGAACGGUAAGGCCCUUCGGGGUACACGAGUGGCGAACGGGUGAGUAACACGUGGGUGAUCUGCCCUGCACUUCGGGAUAGGCCUGGGAAACUGGGUCUAAUACCGGAUAGGACCACUGCCUGCAUGGGUGGUGGUGGAAAGCUUUUGCGGUGUGGGAUGGGCCCGCGGCCUAUCAGCUUGUUGGUGGGGUGAUGGCCUACCAAGGCGACGACGGGUAGCCGGCCUGAGAGGGUGACCGGCCACACUGGGACUGAGAUACGGCCCAGACUCCUACGGGAGGCAGCAGUGGGGAAUAUUGCACAAUGGGCGCAAGCCUGAUGCAGCGACGCCGCGUGAGGGAUGACGGCCUUCGGGUUGUAAACCUCUUUCAGCACCGACGAAGCGCAAGUGACGGUAGGUGCAGAAGAAGGACCGGCCAACUACGUGCCAGCAGCCGCCGUAA